UGUCUUGCACAAACAGUGACCUUUCCUCUCACAGCGGGUUGUUUUUCUAAAGUUCACGGUCAAUUUCAAGUCCCUGAGCGCCAUUUCCUCUAUUUCCUUCAUAAUACACGAUGAAGAAUCGGGGUCAACACCUGCCGCUCUCUGCUCCUGUAACUGCUUUGCUGAGCUUUGACACAAAUACUGUCAGCGCUGAGAUCAGCGGGACGUCUAACCCUGACAGUAAAUCUCUAUCACCAAUACUCCUCCAUAUGGCUGCAUGAAAAUUUCAUUGUGGAGAGCCUGAGGCUGAAGGACCUAGCUGUAAUUAGUUUUCCACAGGUACCAGAUGCAGUAAAUUGCUGAAAGGCAUCACAGAUGAUGUCAGAAUCACCUGCAGCUUCUGAGGAAGGCAGCAGGUUCCAACAUGUCGCUCCGCUGUCACUCAAACGAUGUGAUUCUGAAACACAUUCAGAUUUAAUCUCCUGUGAGCUGGCGUCGCUGCAGAGGGAACUUCCCUUCCAGGUCCUCGGGGAACGAGCCUCACUAGAGGUCACUGUUGUUCUGAAGGAGAGACGCAGCAGGGAUCAGGGACGGCAGCACGAGAGACAUAAAUUCACGUUUCCUGCUAAAUGGUUUCAAUUUAUCAGCCGUUGAUGUCACUGAAUAUUUGUCUGCACGUCACAUGUAUGACUGUCCUUUUUGAUUCUUAAUUAUAGCGAGCUUCUAAACAGACACAUGGUUUCGUACUUCUGUUAGAAAGCAUUACUAUCAACAUCUUCAUCAUUGCACAUUGAGAUUCAGCAGAGCUUUAAAUGAUCUGUUCUUAAAAUACAAACUGCUCUCCUACAACAUGGAUUCAUAAGGUUCCUAUUCUCACUUGUAUUGUGUCAUUUCCUGCCCGAGAGCGGACAGGAGGGUCUUUAAUAUUUUAAAUGAAUAUGGAGUAAAUGUGAUGCAUUACGCGACCUCAUUAAUAUGCGAUAACACUGGUCCAAUACGUCCUUUCUCCGUCUCACGUUGUGUUUGGUCUUAAAAAGCAGAUGAAACCGUAUUUUUGUACUUUAAUAGACAACAAGGUGCUUGUAUACAUACACAUACAGUAUAUGUAUAUCACAAGUUCUCUGGAAGCAUGGGAACAGAGAUAUUUGUUAUUCAUGUAUUAUACACACCUCAGAGUUGUGGCUGGUUGGCUGUGAACUGCAUCACCUGUGAUUAAACAUUCAUAGGCUCCAUCUGUGUCCCGGGCGUUUCAGUCGGCAGCAGCAGACUCCAGGACUCUGUGAUACAGGGAAACAGGCACUGAGGGACACACGUCUCCCAUAAACCAGGGACAUGCAGGACGGGGAAGAAAACAGGAUUCAAAUAUGGUGUAAAAAAUUAAAACCUCACAAGACUGUGAUUAUUCAGUUUACUGCGAUGACUAAAGUCACCGUGGACGAGAUUUCUGUAAGAUUUCUGACACCUUGAGUCUUUGAACCAGUCUGGAUAUAAUGUUUGAGUCAAUUCAAGUCAAUGCUCCACAUUAAUUAUCACCUCCGACAAGGAAAUCAGGUUUUCACCCCUGUCCUUUUGUGUGUCAGCAAGAUAACAACUCAAUGGAUAACAAAAGAAUUGUUGUGCGUCUGUGGUACGAAGCCGUUUGAUGGAGUUCAGGGACAGUUGGACCUUGGCGAAGGUGUUUGCUCGACUGAACGUCAUUCUCGUUUUGCUCUGUGUUUAGUACAAGUGGGAUUAUCAAAGCCGGCUGUAGAGUCAUGUGUGAAUGCAGAUCAGACUUUGAGGACAAACCCUUAGUAUUAGACCACCAGCGCUUCCCUGUAAUUUUUCAUGACAGCAGAUUUGUUUUGGUUUUGGUUCCAUAUUGUUCACCGGGUUAUGGUUUGAGUUUU